CUGGUAGAAAGAAGUGUGUUUUGUAUGGCUAGUGUCCUUAGAUCAGCGGUUCUCAAGCUGUGGGUCGAGACCCCCUUUGGGGAUUGAACAACCCUUUCACAGGGGUAGCCUAAGACUAUUGGAAAACACAGAUAUUUACAUUAUGAUUCAUAACAGUAGCAAAAUUACAGUUAUGAAGUAGCAA